AGCCCAUCCAGGGACUGGGACUCCGGGGUUCUGGUGUAGGUGGAUCCGGGGCAGGCUCAGGACCAAGUCCCUCUCCUUCCACCAAGGAGCGCCCAGAGGCCGGCGGGAGCUCCAGGUUCACCUCCUCCUCCUCCAGGAAAUCCCACUUCCAACUGGAUGUCUGGAUGAACUACUGAAAGCUGCUGAGUGUCCUGCAGCAGGCCAUUUCCAAUCCAGCGGAAGACCUUCUAGAAGAGAUGAUGGUGGGAGAGUGCUGACAUACUAUGUGAAGCUACUAUUUGGAGUUGGACACGAGUGCAUGUGUCCUUGUGCCACAACGGGAAUCUUGACUACAACACAAAUGAAUCCACUCAAAUGUUGGCAAGUGGAGCAGAGUCCCAGAACAGAUGGGCAGGUGCUGGAGCAGCCCCCCUGGAAGUGAUGCAGCAUCCAGGAAGACGGAGGAAGGGGCGGAGAAGGACCUCUGCUUUCCAGGCUGCCUUUUAUACUGCCUCUGGUCACCUGACGUGGAACGUACCCUAACCUAAUCAGUUACAUGAGGCGCUUGGAAACCACCGUCAAUUGGACCGCACUGGGAAACACAGAUGAACAAAGUCAACACCGCUUUGUCCUUCAGUGCCUGGCUCCUUUUUCAGCUCGUCUUGCGACUCU
rnacentral:lncRNA from 10 species